UACGGAGGGUGCAAGCGUUAUCCGGAUUCACUGGGUUUAAAGGGUGCGUAGGCGGGCAUAUAAGUCAGUGGUGAAAUCCCCGAGCUUAACUUGGGAACUGCCAUUGAUACUAUCUGUCUUGAAUAUCGCGGAGGUAAGCGGAAUAUGUCAUGUAGCGGUGAAAUGCUUAGAUAUGACAUAGAACACCGAUUGCGAAGGCAGCUUACUACACGAUUAUUGACGCUGAGGCACGAAAGCGUGGGGAUCAAAC
rnacentral:rRNA from 1 species